AACGAACGCUGGCGGCAUGCCUAACACAUGCAAGUCGAACGAACCCUUCGGGGUUAGUGGCGCACGGGUGCGUAACGCGUGGGAAUCUGCCCUUUGCUUCGGAAUAACACAGAGAAAUUUGUGCUAAUACCGGAUAAUGUCGCAAGACCAAAGAUUUAUCGGCAAAGGAUGAGCCCGCGUAAGAUUAGCUAGUUGGUGGGGUAAUGGCCUACCAAGGCGACGAUCUUUAGCUGGUCUGAGAGGAUGAUCAGCCACACUGGGACUGGGACACGGCCCAGACUCCUACGGGAGGCAGCAGUGGGGAAUAUUGGACAAUGGGCGAAAGCCUGAUCCAGCAAUGCCGCGUGAGUGAUGAAGGCCUUAGGGUUGUAAAGCUCUUUUACCAGGGAUGAUAAUGACAGUACCUGGAGAAUAAGCUCCGGCUAACUUCGUGCCAGCAGCCGCCGUAAGAC
rnacentral:rRNA from 1 species